UUAUGCUUAUUUUUUGUUCUUCAGACUUGACAAUUGUAAAGAGUUUUGGUAAAAACCUCUGACGGGCGCUCGCCAGCCGGAGCCAGCGGGGCGAACGAGUCGCCACGGCCCGCCAAAGCAACAGGGUAGUUAAACAUGGGUGGGAGGUUGGGCCCAGAGGACCCGAACUCGGUAAUGAUCCUUCCGCAGGUUCACCUACGGAAA
rnacentral:misc_RNA from 1 species